rnacentral:rRNA from 1 species
CGAGAAAUAUUGGGCAAUGGGCGCAAGCCUCUACCCGCCAUGCCGCGUGCAGGAAGACGGUCCUAUGGAUUGUAAACUGCUUUUAUUCGGGAAUAAACCACAUUACGUGUAGUGUGCUGAAUGUACCGAAGGAAUAAGGAUCGGCUAACUCCGUGCCAGCAGCCGCGGUAAUACGGAGGAUCCAAGCGUUAUCCGGAUUUAUUGGGUUUAAAGGGUGCGUAGGCGGCUUAUUGAGUCAGGGGUGAAAGACGGUGGCUCAACCAUCGCAGUGCCCUUGAUACUGAUGAGCUUGAAUGGACUAGAGGUAGGCGGAAUGUGACAAGUAGCGGUGAAAUGCAUAGAUAUGUCACAGAACACCGAUUGCGAAGGCAGCUUACUAUGGUUUAAUUGACGCUGAAGCACGAAAGCGUGGGGAGCAAACA